rfam:Cajanus cajan CcLG11_601, whole genome shotgun sequence.
UUCAAAGUUUCCUUAGGAUAGCUAGAGCCUACGAGCGAGUUUUAUUGAAUAAAGCCAAUGAUUAGAGGCAUCGGGGGCACAAUGCCCUCGACCUAUUCUCAAACUUUAAAUAGGUAAGAUGGUGUGGUUGCUUUAUUGAGCCACUCCACAAAAUCGAGAGCUCCAAGUGGACCAUUUAUGGUAAGAUAAAUUGGCGAUGAGGGAUGAACCGGAAGCUAGAUUAUGGUGCCCAACUGUGCGCUAACCUAAGGUUAGCCUUAUUUAUACAUGAAAGACCCUUAUUUAGUAUUUUGCUAUGCAUGAGUCCAUAUUUGUAUAUUUAGAGUGUAGAA